ensembl:lncRNA
CUCAACCAAGUCAUUACCUGAAGGAUCCAGCCGAGAACCGUCACCUCUGCCCCUCUCCCCAGGAAUGGGGCCCGAGGCGGGGCCUACUGGGCAGCAUUUGCCUCAGGAAGCAACUUUGUUCUGCAACGAUUAUCUCGAAGGCUCUGUAUGUCCUGCAAGAGCACAGUGGCCAGGACAUCUCCUUGAAGAGGCCAGAGGGGAACAUGUGAUUUCUCGGAUGGCUUGGACCUUCUGGGUGUCAUUCCACUCCUGUGUCAAGCUGGGUCCCCACAGGAAACAAGUGGCACACUGAGACCAGGAGAACUACACACGCCAAUGUAUGCAGAUUCAGGUUUAAUAGGGUGUUCUGACUUCAUUUGCCAAAUCAGAUGACCCCGCAUUGAGCCAAUCCAACCAAAGCCAGAGGCCUGGAACCUUCCUUCUCUGGCCUGUGUAUUUGAUCAGCGUUUCUCAAAGGGUGGCCAGCGUCAGCCACGCAGCUUCCUGUAUCCCCUCCAGCCCUGGAAGUUCACCGAACUGAACUUGACCAAAGCCAUUCACAGUCACAAUACAUGGCCGAGAGGAAAUGCCCAAACCUCGCGAAAUGCAUUUCAUCAAAGGUUGGAGGACAAAGGAGGUUUUGUCUCUCGGCACUUAAAAUUGGCCCCAUCCCACAGAUGCACCACGUGGUCCAGAGCCAUCUCCCACCAGCUGCAGGACCCAAUCUGUGGACGUUUGCCCCCGGGGCUCCUGGGUACCCAGCCGGGGAGUUCCUCCUUUGGUGCUGCUCUCUGGGACUCCCUGCCUAUGUGUGAGCACAUCGCUAGAGGAUCUGCCUGCAUGCAGCAUGCCUGUGCUCCAGCCACAGUGGUUGCUGAAAUGACUGCCUGCCAGAGUCUCUGUGCGCCAAGCAUCACCAGCACAUGGUGCUGGGAGAAGGGUUGCUGUCUGCUACGCGGAUGGCAGCCAACUAGAACUGCACUGCUUUCUUGCUUGCCUUUCCUGGCUUAAAAUUGAAGUUGCCCAGAAAAAUCAAACAUACAACUACCAUAGGAUCCCGGAAUCCUACUUGAAGGGGAUCUCCCCACUGUAAGGGAAAGCAGGGCCUUGAAGCAAUACUUGUCCCCCUGUGUUCACAGCAGCCUUAUUCGCAAUAACUGAAACAUUUAAAACAACCCAAGUGUCCACUGAUGCAUGCCUGGAUGAACAGAAUAUGGUCCAGCCCCAUAAAGGAGUGUGGUUCAGCCUUCAAAAAACAGCCGCUACAACACCACUGGACCAACAAGGUGUGAUGGUCAGUGAGAUUAAGCCAGACACAAGGACAGACACAGUAUGACUCCACUUGUAUGAGGCGCCUAGAGUCAUCAGACCCUAGACGGAGAGAGGAGGAAGGGGAGGGGGCAGAGGCUGGGGAGGGGGAGUUAGAGUCUAAUAAGGACAGAGUUUCCAUUGGGGAAGAUGGGCAGUUCUGGGAAUGGACACACACCCACAUGAACAUACUUAGUGCCGCCAACCUGGACACUUAAAAAUGGUCAAGAUGCUACAUUUGAUGUUUGUUGUUGUUUAGUUGCUAAGUCGUGUCGGAGUCUUUGCGACCCCAUGGACUGUAGCUCAUCAGACUCCUCUGUCCAUAGGAUUUCCCAGGCCAGAAUACCAGAGUGGGUUGCCAUUGCGUUUCUCCAGGGAAUCUUCCAAACUCAGGGAUCAAACCUGGGUCUCCUGUAUUGGCAGAUGGAUUCCUUACCAGGGAAGGUACCAGGGAAGCCACCAGAGAAGCCCAAAUUUGAUGUUAUCGGUACUUAAUUACAGUUUCAAAAUCCACAUUGACGUCUGCAGUUCAGGAGCUGGGACACCUUGCAUACAUUUUGUCAGCCUUCUGUGCCUCAGUUUCACCUCUCAUAUGAGCACUGGACAAGGUCACAUAAAAGCAGGUCACAGGCUUCCCAGCAAAUCCAGUUGUUCAGAAUCUGCCUAGCAAUGCAGGGAACAUGGGUUUCAUCCCUGGUCAGGGAAGAUCCCACGUGCCACGGAGCAACUAAGCCUGUGAGCUGAAACUUCUGGAGCCCAAACACUGUAGAGUUUAUGACCCACAACAAGAGAAGCCACCACACUGCAAUCAGAGAAAGCCUAUGCAGCAACAAAGACCCAGUGCAGCCAAAAAUAAUAAAUAAAUCUUAAGAAAACCAACAAACCCAGCAGAUCAGGAAAGUGUAUGCAUAGAACCGGGUGGUGUCCUGGCCACCCUUCCCGACCAGGGCUGCAUCUCUCGGUGGCAUUGUACAUGAGGAAACACAUAUCAUUCCAGGGAGGAUGGAGGCCUUACUAUCAAGAACAGUAAGUUUAGAGGAGGUGAACGACCUUCAGGUCCGAGGGGGAAGGAAGUGGCGAAGGUGAGGCUUCCCCUGCUCUUGGCUGCUACGUUGGUCUUUGUAACUGGAGCCCUUGCUACCAUGGCUUGGGAGCCAAAUUUCGUUUGGAAAAUACAUUGAAAAAUUCAGAUCUGAAUGACCUACCAUAUAAUUCAUGUUCUUUCGUGUUACUUUUGAUAACUUUUUUUUUGGGGGGGCCAUGUGGCUUGUGGGAUCCUAGUUCUGUGACCAGGGAUCGAACCUGAGACCCCCCCUGCUGCAUUGGAAGUGUGGAGUCUUAACCCCUGGACCACCAGAGAAUGCCCCAAUUCACACUGUUAAUGUGUAUGUUUCAAUGUUUUUAGUACAUUCACAGGGCUGUGCUGGGACAGGGGCUGAUUUUCUGUUGAAUUGUUGGAGGACUGGACACACCAUUCCUACCACAGUGCGCAAAGUUUUCGAUUUCUUAACAUCCUCACCACCACUUGUUACUGAUUUUUUUUUUAAUGAUUUUUGACUGUAAGCCUCCUAGUGGGCGUGAUACAGGGUCUAUUGUGGUUUGAACAUACAUGCUUAAUUUCAAAGCCCUCUAAUCAGCGGGCACCUCAGCUUUUCUGGAGAGCACUCUGACCUUGCCAGGCAGCCAUCUGAAAUGUUUAUCAUUUGCAACUCUUUGUCCUUGCCAUUCAGAUGGGCUUUCUUUCCAGAUUGUUCUUCAUAGUGUACAACCCAAACAGGUGGGAGAGCUGAGAGUGUGACAUCCACAAUGAGCUGAGCCAGCCCCACAGGGCUGGGGAGGGGGGGUUGCUUCUGUGGUGGCCGACACAACAAACAACAGAUGUCAACUCUGAGAGGACUUCAGAUAGUGGGACUGUCAGAGAUUACAGACAUUGUCACACUGCAUCCAAACCACAACUUCCAGGCAUAUGCUGUUUAAUAGACACUCACCUAAAACAUAUGUCUGUGGAAAGAUCACAUGUGAGGGAAGGAGAAAAACAAGAUCUACUUGGCACCUAAGAACCAAGAGGGAGCUGGUGUAGUUAUAUUAAUAUCAGACAAACCUACAACAUUUUAUGAAGAUGUUAAAAUAGUUUCAAAAUAUAUAAAGCACAAAUGGACAGAACUCCAUGGAGAAAUAGACACAUCUAGCACCUUACAGGGAGGUUUCCAUGGGCUUUCCUUGAAGGUGUUGCAGGAAGGCAGACCCCUUCCAGGGCCCGAAACCGGGCUCUUGUCUAACACUCAGAAAUGAAUUGUCCGAGGAGACACAUGUGCUGACAAAGCAAGAGAUUUUAUUGGGCAAGGGCACCCGGGUGGAGAGCAGUAGAGUAAGGGAACCCAGGAGAAGUGCUCUGCCACAUGGCUCGCAGUCUCGGGUUUUAUGGUGAUGGGAUUAGUUUCUGGGUGGUCUUUGGCCAAUCAUUCUAAUUCAGAGUCUUUCCUGGUGGUGCACGCACCGCUCAGCCAAGAUGGAUGCUAGCGAGAGGGAUUCUGGGAAGUGGAUGGACACGUGGUGUCUCCUUUCGACCUUUCCCAAACUCUUCCGGUUGGUAGUGGCUUAUUAGUUCCCUAUUCCUUAUCAGAAUCUCCUGUCAUAAAACAACUCCUGCAAAUGUUUACUAUGGUGCCUGGCCAGGGUGGGCGGUUUCAAUCAGUGUGCUUCCCCUAACAAUUCCCCACUGAGAGACUCCAUACUCAAGAUACUUCUUGGGAAUUGGGGCGGAGGUCUCUUUCUUCUGUAACUUCUUCCUGCUGUGCAUGGCUGUAGGCCUGCCUAGCAGAGCAGAAGUCUCUCUCUACCAGAUCUAAGUCAAGGUAUUUUUGGCCUGAAACCAGCAUUCACCCUUGUAAUAACAGCAAUUUAGUUUGAAACUGUUGGCCCCUCUCAGAGAUGAAAUAGACAGGGGCCAAACAGGAGACCUAACAGGAUGGUCAUCUCUGGUCCCCAGAAACAGAAGGCAACAUUUGGGGUGAGGGUUGCAGGGUUUGUGACCGUUUUUGAUUGGUUGGUGGUGAGGCAAUAGAGCUGUGCACCCCCCCACCCCCCAGAAUCUUUUCAGUCUGAAGUUACCAUCCUCCACCUGGGUGGGGGCUCAAAGAUAUUGUUAUGCAUAUUUCUUUGAGUAGGAACCAGGACUCUGUCUGGAGGCUGCCUGGUCCAGGAACUAAGAUCUCCCAAGAUGCCUGGUGCAGCCAAAAAGAAAAAGACUUAGAACUACAGUAAUAGAAAGAAGGAAAUAAUAAAACUGGUGGCUAAAAGUGAAAGUGGUAUUUAAAGUAAAAUUUACAACUUUAUGAGCUUACGUAUCUACAUUAUUUUUAUUGAGCCAAAACAUACUAAGUGUAACCACUGGAACUUUCCACACACACAGCGGAGGCGCCAUCAAACUCAGCCCCAAAGCAAAACUCUCCAGAUUCCUUUUGCAGUUCUAGAUGUUGGUAUGAAAGGAAGCUCGCAGUGACAUCCAUACCCGUAUCAACAUGUCCAUUCCUUUUUAUCACUGAGCAGCAGUCUGUGAUAUGGAGGUCCUGUAGCUCUGUUGAUGGCCAUUUAUUCAGUUUGUUUCCAGCUGGGGGAUCAUAGAAUAGCUGCAGUGGACAUGCAGGUACAAGUCUUUGUAUGGACUUGUGCAUUCCUUGCUUUUUGCUACACACCUAGAAGGGGAAUGGGCUUCCCUGGUAGCUCAGUUUGUAAAGAAUCAUCCUGCAAUGCAGGACACUCCGGUUUGAUUCCUGGGUCAGGAAGAUCAACUGGAGAGGGGAUAGGCUACCCACUCCAGUAUUCUUGGGCUUCCCCUGUGGCUCAGCUGGUAAAGAAUCCGCCUGCAAUGUGGGAGACCUGGGUUUGAUCCCUGGACUGGGAAGACUCCCUGGAGAAGGGAACCGCUACCCACUCCAGUAUUCUGGCCUGGAGAAUUCCAUGGACUAUACAGUCCAUGGGGUCUCAAAGACGACUGAGCGACUUGCACUGCACUCAGAAGGGGAAUGGCUGGCUGAGAGGGGCUGGGUAGGUGAAGUUCAAGUUCGUAAGAAAAGUGGCUGGCCAAGUUUGCACCGCUGUUGGCUCCACUCCCUUGCCGACACUUGCUAUGACCAGUCUUUUUAGUGUUAGUCAUCUUGGUGUGUGUGUGCACAGCCAUGUCCUUGAAGUCUUCUCAGGCGUUUCCCGGUGACCGACGAGGCUCAGCAGGAGGCGAGGG